rnacentral:rRNA from 1 species
AUUGAACGCUGGCGGAAUGCUUUACACAUGCAAGUCGAACGGUAGAGGGGGCAACCCCUUGAGAGUGGCGAACGGGUGAGUAAUAUAUCGGAACGUGCCCAGUCGUGGGGAUAACGUAGCGAAAGUUACGCUAGUACCGCAUACGAUCUAAGGAUGAAAGCGGGGGAUCGCAAGACCUCGCGCGAUUGGAGCGGCCGAUAUCAGAUUAGGUAGUUGGUGGGGUAAAGGCUCACCAAGCCAACGAUCUGUAGCUGGUCUGAGAGGACGACCAGCCACACUGGAACUGAGACACGGUCCAGACUCCUACGGGAGGCAGCAGUGGGGGAAUUUUGGACAAUGGACGCAAGUCUGAUCCAGCCAUUCCGCGUGCAGGAUGAAGGCCCUCGGGUUGUAAACUGCUUUUUGUACGGAACGAAACGGUGAGCUCUAAUACAGUUUGCUAAUGACGGUACCGUAAGAAUAAGCACCGGCUAAC